rnacentral:rRNA from 1 species
GAUAUUGCGCAAUGGGGGAAACCCUGACGCAGCAACGCCGCGUGAAGGAUGAAGGUUNNNGGAUCNUCAACUUCUUUGACCGGNGACNAAUAAAUGACGGUACCCAGGGAACAAGCCACGGCUAACUACGUGCCAGCAGCCGCGGUAAUACGUAGGUGGCGAGCGUUGUCCGGAUUUACUGGGUGUAAAGGGCGCGUAGGCGGGGCGGCAAGUCUGAUGUGAAAUCCCGCGGCUUAACUGCGGAACUGCAUCAGAAACUGCCGUCCUUGAGUAUCAGAGGGGAAAGCGGAAUUCCUAGUGUAGCGGUGAAAUGCGUAGAUAUUAGGAGGAACACCGGUGGCGAAGGCGGCUUUCUGGCUGAAAACUGACGCUGAGGCGCGAAAGCGUGGGGAGCAAACAGG